CCUACGGGUGGCAGCAGUGGGGAAUAUUGCACAAUGGGCGAAAGCCUGAUGCAGCAACGCCGCGUGAAGGAAGAAGGGUUUCGGCUCGUAAACUUCUAUCAACAGGGACGAAAGAAAUGACGGUACCUGAAUAAGAAGCCCCGGCUAACUACGUGCCAGCAGCCGCGGUAAUACGUAGGGGGCAAGCGUUAUCCGGAAUUACUGGGUGUAAAGGGUGAGUAGGCGGCAUGGUAAGCCAGAUGUGAAAGCCUUGGGCUUAACCCGAGGAUUGCAUUUGGAACUAUCAAGCUAGAGUACAGGAGAGGAAAGCGGAAUUCCAUGUGAAGCGGGGAAAUGCGGAGAUAUAAGGAAGAACACCAGAGGCGAAGGCAGAUGACUGGACGGCAACUGACGGUGAGGCGCGAAAGCGUGGGGAGCAAACAGGAUUAGAUACCCGAGUAGUC
rnacentral:rRNA from 1 species